CAGAUCGACUCCGUAUGCUCUGAGGGGACACAACCGUUGGAGGGGGCUAGAAGGCUGGCUCUGCAACGGACUUCAGAACAGUCCAUGAGGGGUUUGGCGGCGCCGUGCUGAUUUUGUAACAGGGCUCGGCGGGGUUCGACAGCAUUGUGGUUUUGAAUACAGAAUACAGUCAAAAUGGUCGGGACGAUGAGUGUCAUUAUACCCGCAUGCCGUGUGCAGGCUAUGUCUACCGAGAUAAAGUUCCUUGUUCCCUUUCAUCGUCAUGUCGGCAUGUGCUGUGCAUUGUAUGGCUCCGGUAUUCCACAAUUGGCGGUAGUUCUGGGUUAUAUUCAUUGCACUUAUGGCCUGCGGAGAAUACUGUGUAGCGAAGGGCAAAGUGCAAUGUUUCACUGUCGUCUCGCGUGAUGUUUCAUGUGGUGUCUGCAGUAGCGUUAGCGUGUUUCUUCUGGUAUUUGGUGCGGUUAGCGUGUGGCACACUAUCAUGAUGUGGAGGCUUGAGCGAAGUUGGUUGAAUGAAACGGUGGCACUAGAUUGACAGCAGUGUAGUAUCCCUCAAAAUCGUUCGUACCACAAAUGUGAGAACGGGGCCUUUAUCUGUGACUGACCUUGUGCAGUACCUAGUGAGAAGAUUAGAGGCGUGGUACUCGAUCUCUUGACACGGGUUUACACUGCUGCGCAUCUGUGUGGCUGGAUGCUGGUGGAUGUGUCCAUUGAGGUCAGGGAUGAUAGGAAAACCCAUAGGAAUGCGGAGGAAGAAGUUAAUCGGAUUGAAUCCCUUUUGGUAUGUCUGCGAGAGCCGUCGCCAUAUCGUGGGUUGAGGCUCCACGCCCAGUACCGUUAGCGUCAAAGGGGCGAACAGCUUCCUGGUGGCUUGUGAGCAGCCGCAUACCAACGGAACUAAAUUGUGGUACUGGGCC
rnacentral:lncRNA from 1 species